CUAAGUCAGCCGGAAGCAGUAUUUAUAAAGAGGAAAAGUCGAGUUUCCAUACCAGUAGGAAUUCUUCCACGUGAAAAUACCAGCAUGACCGCAUUUUCUGGCCAUACAUUUCUAACACAGGACGAAGUUUCUGCAGUAAGUCGACGCUGUUUUGUAAGCUAGCCUUCCUGCACAUGACUAGCUACCUGGCAGCUACGUACACUGAUGCUAAAGUUACUAAUUAUCAAGUAAACAACAGAAGUAUUAACAAACUAAGAUGCCAGUUCGUUAACAGAGCAGGUUUUGACUCUUGCCAGCAGGCUAGCUGUGAAUUACGGCAUGCAAACUUUGCAAUUUGCAGGAGACGCAGGAGCAGGUUAAUGAGCUGCGGCGUGCUAUCGAAAAAACCACUCGUAAACUGGAGAAGGUCCAACAGAGAAGACUGCAUACUGAAGAAGAGAUAAUUAAACGGUAUCUCAAUGUACACCACCCAUUUACUUUAGUUUCCAAUUAAACUGGGUGCCUGUCACGCUUAAAGUGUCCAAAAAACCUGACUUUGUCUCAACCCGUAUAAUGCUUCCUGUGAUGUGAUACCAGUUAUCGUCGGUGGGUGCACUGAGGUGCACAACAGGCUGUUACUGUAGAUUAAUCGACCAGUCUAUUUGGUACACCUCAUGUCUUGAACUACUCCCUCAUGCAAUCUAAUCUAAACGGCAAACUCAGUGCAUUUGGGCAUGUAAUUCAAGUUUCAAGGUCAAGCUGAGCCGCAGAAUGGGGAAGAGAGGUGAUUUUGAACAUGGCACAGCUGUUGUACGAGAGAAACUGAACGGAGAGUGGAUUUAAUGAUGGAAAAAAGUGAAAUCGUUAAUGCACUGCAACAACUGGGUCAUCUGCUGCAAAGUGAGAUGGAUCUCUUUGAACAACUAAAUGGCCAAAGCUCUCCAGACAGGUAUUCCGAAGUGCUGUGGGCAAAACCGAAGCAGACGUGACAUGUGCAAACUUACAAUAUAUAUUUCAGGAGUGAAAGGCUCAGUUUGCAGGACCAGAGUGAGAGCGCCAGCAUUAAGGCAAGCCAGCUUCUUGCUGAAAUCCUGGAGGUGAAACAGCAGCUAGAAGAGGUUGAGGCUCGUUAUUCGGCGGUUCAAGCUUUGCUCCCUGGGCCAACCUACAAGUUGGAGAGAAAUCACACGCUGCAGUGACUUACAAACACUGUUAUUUUAAUAAGUACAAUAAAGUGUAUAUAAGUGUUUUUAA